GUAACGGCGAGUGAAGCGGGAUGAGCUCAAGCUUAAAAUCUCCGAACGAAUUGUGUGCGGCGAAUUGUAGUCUAUAGAGGCGUGGUCAGUGUAAACACUUGGGUUAAGUUCCUUGAAAAAGGACAGCAAUGAGGGUGAUACUCCCGUUCAUACUUAAGUUGUUUAUGCGUACGACCCGUUUUCUUUGAGUCGCGUUGUUUGAGAAUGCAGCGCAAAGUAGGUGGUAAAUUCCAUCUAAAGCUAAAUAUUGGUGCGAGACCGAUAGCGAACAAGUACCGUGAGGGAAAGAUGAAAAGAACUUUGAAAAGAGAGUUAAAGAGUACCUGAAACUGCUGAAAGGGAACCGAAUCGUUUCUAGUGUCUAUAAUCUGUGACAUAUUUCAUUGGGGAGUGUGUGCGUGUGUAUACCAUGGCAGUGGCUAAUGCUGCGCUAGGUGUGCGUGCUGUAUGUGCUUACUGGUGCCCUGUGUUACGGUGGGACGUCAAAGUAGGUUUGUAUGCUGCGGGAAAUGGCUACUGAGGAGGUAGGGCUUACGCUUGCGUUUGUCUGUUAUAUCUUGGUGGUGUGUCGUGGUUGAGACUGAGGUGUCUAUAACGUGCUUUUGAGUGGGUCUGAUUCUCCGUGUGUACCGUGUGCAGAUAGCUUGCUAUGUGUGUGUGGUUAUAGUGGAUUGAGUCGGACUUUAACUUGUUGCCGUUCGGGACUUUGGCGAAAUAGAGCGAUUUGACCCGUCUUGAAACACGGACCAAGGAGUCUAACAUAUGUGCAAGUGUUAGGGUGUGGAAACCCCAGCGCGAAAUGAAAGUAAAGGAUAGUGAAAUAUCUGAGGUAGGAAACGUUGCGUUGCGGCGUGGCACUAUCGACCGAUCAUGAACCUUCGUGGUGAAAGAUUUGAGUUUGAGCACAUAUGUUGGUACCCGAAAGAUGGUGAACUAUGCC
rnacentral:rRNA from 1 species